rnacentral:lncRNA from 1 species
UUGAUAGACACAGAUUGAUUACACAACUUGGAGGACACAAUCCAUAUACGCAGAUGGUGAUCCAUGCUGUGAAUGAAAUGGGAAGAGUAACAUGGUGGAAAAGGAUCCUGACAUUGCUUGGGGCGUCCUCUCAAAGGAAAUAGCAUAUGAGCUGAGACUGGAAGACAAGGAGGAUCCACCAAUGGACAGGUCUGGAACAGAGCGUUUCAUGUUAGGGGAACACUGAUUUCCUCUGUGAAGAAGGCUCCCCUUGCUUGCUGAGGACCGAAGUUUGCUUUGCUGAAGCUAAGAAUAGCAGUAAGUAUUUGAAAUACACAGGACUCGCUUACUUAUCACAUAAGUAAAAGGAGUAGUAAACAACAAAAAAAUAUCCUACAACUCAUAUCAAGCAGAGUGCGUGUUGUUAAUACCCAGGAUUUGGGCCAACUCAGCCGCACAGGCUCCUUCAUCUCAGAACACGUGGUGCUGCAGGUCCUCUGGCUCUUCGUUUUCAGCCUGUCCCUGAAGUCCACGCAGUGGGGCUGACUUUGAUCUCCAGGUUGUGUGGUGUGUACGUCACCAAUAAGUUAUGCUGCUCGUGUCUUCUCCAGGUUUCACACACAUCAUCUAUCUACUCAUUUAAGAUACACUUUUAAGCAUCUAUUAUGAGCCUGAAGUGUGCUACAUUUGUGAGGUACCGGUUUCCUCAUCACCGUGGGCAAGGCAGAGGCAAGAUUGACACCUGCUGACAAUUACCUCUGUUAUUUUUGGGGCUUUCUCUUCGGUUUGGUUUGGUUUGGUUUUAGUGGUACUGAGUAUUCAACCUAGGACCUUUGCAAUGAGCUACAUUCCCAGUUCUAUUUUUGUUUCUAGUUUUGAUUUGGAGACAGAGUCUUGCUAAGUUACCUAGACUGGACUUGAACUGAUUCUCCUGUUCCAGCCUCCCAGUAUGCUAGCGUUACAGGUAUGCCGCACACAGUAGCAACACGGGAGGUCUGGGGAGCACAAAGGAGAGAAAGAAGGACCGCUGCCAGGUAUUUCCACCAUCUUUUCCUCUUUUCCUUGCCUUUGGAGAGCUACAGUCCAGCAUCGUCGCUGCUUAUCUGGCCAACGCCUGUCUGCACAGCAAAGUAGAAGUCGUCUUCAUUCUACCUUCCCUGUCUGGGACAGGGGCUGCUGUCUCAGUGGAGCGAAGCUGUUGGUCGUUUUCCCAGGAGUUCAGGUGCCACAUGCUUCUCGUGCGACUUCUAGUUCAAAGGCUCCGCCAAAUGGCUGUGGGGAAAACUCUCUCUGACGCUACCAGCCUGUGCGGGAACGAAAUCAGCUCUGGAGCCUUCAUUAGACCUGAGCUCUCCCCGGAUGAUACAGGGUGGAACCAAUGGUAUGAAGUCAGCUCUUCCAAUAAGGAGACUUACAGGCGUUUCAAAGCCCAGGCCCUGGUGUACUUGCUAGCAUUUUAAUAACCUAAACUGUGACCUUCAGCAUUCUUAUUAUACAUUGAUUGAUUACAGUAAACAGGGAAAAUGUAUUAAUAAAGUCUAUUGGACACUACUGGGG